rnacentral:lncRNA from 1 species
AAUCCGGCGCCAUCGCGCUUUGGGCGAGCAUGGUGAUGGGGAGUAGCGAGGUGGGAACCGAGCUGACGUCUGUCUGGUCUUGGCGACCGUGGCGCGCGACCGGGAGGACUGGCCGGAGCAUGUCUCCAGGAGACGGGUCAAUGGUGCGGAGGUGACGCAGGAGCUCUUGGUGUGACCUGGGCCUAUGUAUGAUACCACAGGAGCUUGACCGAGGAUGCUCUGGUGUUUUAAUAAGUGACCCCUUUUUCUGAAGAUGUUGGGUGGUUAAUGAAAGAAGGAAUUGUAUUCUUGGCGAUGUCUGAAAGAAAUGUGUGGCUUUGAAAGAAGAUUAUGAAAUAUACAGGAAAGGAGUGAAAUCAAAGGAUGUUUUUCCAUGAUAGAGUAAUGUUUACACAUGUAUUCAGUAAUGUGAAGAUUUAUAUAAGGCCUGGUGACCUCAGUUAAUUCCUGGGAUCCACAGUGUGGAAGAAGAGACCUGACUCCUGAAAGUUGUCUUCUGACCACAUAUACAUAAUAAGUAAACAAAUGUAAUUUUGAAAUCUCAAAAUAGUAAAGUUAAAAAACAUAAGAAUGCUGCUGUUUUCUGAAAUGUAAGCAUGAUGCAAAGGACUUGUGACAGUUUUGUUUAAACUUUAUCUUCUUGAAAUGAGAAAGGGAUUAAACUGUCAAAAGAAUUAAACUCUUUGUAAUUCUUUCCCUUUUUGUAAAGAUUUAUUUGUAACGGUAAUGCCGUCUGCAGUGCCCUCGGUGAGGCUGGAGUGACAGGCAGCUGUGAGCUGUGUGAGAUGGGUGUUGGAAACUGAACUCUCCUGCCUCUGGAUGAGCAGUAAGCUCUCUUAACUACUGAGCCGCCUCCAGCCCAGCUUUGUGAAAAUGAAUUUGAAGUCUUGCGUUGUGGAGAAAAAGCAAGAGUGCGUGCUGUGCUGGAAUGUUGUGACUGUCAAUGAACUGAAACUUCCUGUCCGAGUUGCUUUCUGUGGAGGGCUAGCUCAGACAGGUGACCUCAUGCACAUUCCUCAAUGCAGGAAGCACAUUAAAUGACGUAGCUACCUAAUAAAAAUAGCCAGUUUGUCGUCCCUGUGCCACUGCCUUAGCUGCUGCUUGCUCAUUUGUACUGUAAUAAUAAACAGUUUUCUCCUGC